rnacentral:rRNA from 1 species
GACGGAGGGGGCAAGCGUUGUCCGGACUCACUGGGCGUAAAGGGUGCGCAGGCGGCACGGCACGUUCGCGCUGAAAUCCCACGGCUUAACCGUGGGGCGCGUGCGAAUACGGCCGAGCUCGAGGCAUGGAGAGGAUAGGGGAACUCCUGGUGUAGUGGUGAAGUGCGUAGAGAUCAGGAAGAACAUCCGUGGCGCAAGCGCCUAUCUGGCCAUGACCUGACGCUGAGGCACGAAAGCGUGGGGAGCGAACCGG